GGGGCCCUUUCCAGCCAGCUUCUCCCACGUGGCAGCAACAGUAGACAGCAAGAACGGUGUGACAACUCAGCCUCUGCUCAAGGGUCACCAUGUUCCUUAGGGGGUGGUCUGCUAAAUGAUGUGAAGAGUGUGGAGCUCUGGGCCAUGAGUGGGUGCUCAGGAAACGGUAGCUUCUCUGACCACCAUCCUUCUUCCUUGCUCUUUGUUAGUGUGGUGGUUUGUCCGUGUGAGAGAACUUUCCCAGUAACCACUGAAAGUGUACAUCUGACCAGGUUGAACUGGGAUAAAGCCAUCUUGGUUCUACUGGUGACAAUCACUUAAAUAAAUGUUCUGCUUAUAUUUACAAUGAAUUAUAAAUUGAAGAAAAUGACUUAGGCCCUUCUUCAAAUACUUUUGAGCUCCAUGGAUCCAUGAAAUGACAUCUGCAAUAUGAGAAGCUUCAUUUUCACAUUUACCUCAGAAUCACUCUCAUGGAGCUCGAGAUUGUAGAUUUAAAAAAAAAAGUUUUAGACACUGCAAGGAAGUAAUUUCAAUAUCAUCAUGCGGUGAACUGUUUAAUUUUCUUAGUAUGGACAGCCCUGCUCUGUCAGAAAGCAAUGGAAAAAAUAAGACCUUCUAUAUACAAGUAAAAGUAAAAGUAAAAAACCCACUGAAUUAUGUCAACACUUUGUUGGUAAAAUUCUACAUGAAUUGGUCACCUGCCUGUGUGAUAGUGUGCAAGUCAGCGCUGCUACUCUUGGCCCUGCCAGAUGGAGUCCCCAGAAAGCAGGACCCAGGGGACUUAGAAAAGGGAGUGAGAAGGGACAGCGGCAGGAGCCACCGCCUUACUGCAGGCCAGACUACAGGAACCUGGAAAGGAAACCUCCAAAUGCAAUCAAUUGAUCUAAUCCUUCCUCAGAAUGGCAAGGUUCCAAAAUCAGUGAGGACAAUUCCCACUUCUGGCACUUACACCAAAGGUAUGAAUGUUAUCUUUAACCAUGAACUUCUUCGUUGAGUUGUAUUUCCUUUUAUUGAACGGGCAUGUUUACGUGCCAGGCUUUCUGCUAGGUGCUAUACAAAGACUUAAAAAGUCAUCAGUUCUGCCCCAUAUUGUCCCCUCAUUAAAUAUUAUUGAGUGAAUCAAUCAGUGAAUGCAUGAAUGAAGGACUAAAACCAACAAUCAAAUUAAGGGAGAAAACACAGGUAGGUAGGUGGGAGGUACAGAAUACAGUGGUGUGUCACCAGUUUACUCAGGGUAGUCGGGAAAGGCCUUAGACUUGUCUUAACAAUUGAAUGGUUAAUGGUCAGACAAAUGAGGGAGGAACAAAGGGGUCCUUAAUGUAGGCAAGUGAAGGAGCACAGUGUGACCAAAGGCCUAGAGCAAAGAUCAGCAGACUACAGCCCAUGGAUCAAAUUGUGCCUACCACCUGUUUUUGUAAAUAGUUUUAUUUGAACACAGCCAUGCCCAUUCAUUUUUAUUUUGCUUAUGUUUGCUUUCAUGCUGCAACCGUGUCACCGACUAGUUGUGACAGAGACAGUAAGAUCCCCCAAAUCUAAAAUAUUUGCUGUAUAUUUAGGGACCUACAGAAAUGUCCCAAUUGCUGGAACUUAGUUCUAAAAGGGGCUCAGUGAGAGAUAAGACAGAAAGGUGAGUAGGGACCAAAUUGUAAAGCUUUUUUCUAUACCAUAUUAAGAAAUUUGGAGUUGAUCCUUUAGGAAAUAGGUAACGAGAGCAGUCUUGCAUUCAGAAAUGUCUCUCAGGUGCCGGGUCAGACAGGAGAGAUGCAAGAUUGCAGCAGGAGGCCAGCGCGCUCCAAUCCUUACCUCUUGGAGGAAAACCUUGGUUCUGACAGUUUAAUGUUGGUCAUUACGGAUCUAGCUACAUGCCUGGGAAACAGAGCCUGGUACACAGAGACAAUCAAUGUUCACCAAAUAAAGGAAUUAAGGCAGGAAUAAAGACAAUAUUGUAAUAGCAUCAUUAUUAAAAUGUUUCCUGAACAGGCUGCCUUGGUUAUGAAACAAUGAGACCAGCUUGCUCCCAGCCUCCAGUUUCCCACUAAUGUGCACUGAGAGCCACGUGUGGGGAGGUCGAUGCUGGAACACAAGCUGGAGGGAGAUUCCUUCCCUUCAUGUCAGCGCCAUCGUCAUCACCAAACACCGGCCGCUGCUAGAGCUGUGUUUAUUCCGUGCCCUGUGGCCUAGUGGGAGGGAUGGGACGAGAGGCAGCCCUGCAGUCGCCGUCACAAAAAUAAGGAUAUCACUUGGCUCCACCUGGCAUCUUUCACUGGAAGAUCUUGAAUCAUUUUUUUCUUUCAUGUAGCUAUUAUUUCCAUUUCAUUUCCGCUAAAGGAAAAGCCAAACAAUAGAGAGAGGUUGUGAUUCGUCCAAGGUCACUGAGAAGAGCAGUUUUUCAAAGAUGAGAAAGAUUUCAAGACAAGUAAACUCCAGUUUCCAUCCCAGCCUAAAAUGGACCAGGUUCGUGACUCACUAAGAAACGCAGCAUUAUCUGGCCUUAGUGUCUCUCAAGAAUGAGUCAUGCUGGAGGGAACUAGGGCUCGAGGACCGGUGUCACAAGCAUGUUUUUAGUAGCCACACAUGGUCCCUACCUGUCAAAGGUCGACACCUACCACCAAACUCCAGCAUGGGCGAAGAAGGACCCCU